GAUGAACGCUGGCGGCGUGCCUAAUACAUGCAAGUCGAGCGAACGGACGAGAAGCUUGCUUCUCUGAUGUUAGCGGCGGACGGGUGAGUAACACGUGGAUAACCUACCUAUAAGACUGGGAUAACUUCGGGAAACCGUAGCUAAUACCGGAUAAUAUUUUGAACCGCAUGGUUCAAAAGUGAAAGACGGUCUUGCUGUCACUUAUAGAUGGAUCCGCGCUGCAUUAGCUAGUUGGUAAGGUAACGGCUUACCAAGGCAACGAUGCAUAGCCGACCUGAGAGGGUGAUCGGCCACACUGGCUCUGAGACUCGGUCCAGACUCCUACGGGAGGCAGCAGUAGGGAAUCUUCCGCGAUGGGCGAAAGCCUGACGGAGCAACGCCGCGUGAGUGAUGAAGGUCUUCGGAUCGUAAAACUCUGUUAUUAGGGGAGAACAUAUGUGUAAGUAACUGUGCACAUCUUGACGGUACCUAAUCAGAAAGCCACGGCUAACUACGUG
rnacentral:rRNA from 1 species